GACGAACGCUGGCGGCGUGCUUAACACAUGCAAGUCGAACGGACCUUCGGGUUAGUGGCGAACGGGUGAGUAACACGUGGGUGAUCUGCCCUGCACUUUGGGAUAAGCCUGGGAAACUGGGUCUAAUACCGAAUAGGACCACGCGCUUCAUGGUGUGUGGUGGAAAGCUUUUGCGGUGUGGGAUGGGCCCGCGGCCUAGCAGCUUGUUGGUGGGGUAAUGGCCUACCAAGGCGACGACGGGUAGCCGGCCUGAGAGGGUGACCGGCCACAGUGGGACUGAGAUACGGCCCAGAGUCCUACGGGAGGCAGCAGUAGGGAAUAUUGCACAAUGGGCGCAAGCCUGAUGCAGCGACGCCGCGUGAGGGAUGACGGCCUUCGGGUUGUAAACCUCUUUCGCCAGGGACGAAGCGCAAGUGACGGUACCUGGAGAAGAAGGACCGGCCAACUACGUGCCAGCCGCCGCCGUAA
rnacentral:rRNA from 1 species